GACGAACGCUGGCGGCGUGCCUAAUACAUGCAAGUAGAACGCACAGUUUAUACCGUAGCUUGCUACACCAUAGACUGUGAGUUGCGAACGGGUGAGUAACGCGUAGGUAACCUGCCUGGUAGCGGGGGAUAACUAUUGGAAACGAUAGCUAAUACCGCAUAAUAUUAAUUAUUGCAUGAUAAUUAAUUGAAAGGUGCAAUUGCACCACUACCAGAUGGACCUGCGUUGUAUUAGCUAGUAGGUGAGGUAACGGCUCACCUAGGCGACGAUACAUAGCCGACCUGAGAGGGUGAUCGGCCACACUGGGACUGAGACACGGCCCAGACUCCUACGGGGGGCAGCAGUAGGGAAUCUUCGGCAAGGGACGAAAGUCUGACCGAGCAACGCCGCGUGAGUGAAGAAGGUUUUCGGAUCGUAAAGCUCUGUUGUAAGAGAAGAACGGGUGUGAGAGUGGAAAGUUCACACUGUGACGGUAUCUUACCAGAAAGGGACGGCUAACUACGUG
rnacentral:rRNA from 1 species